GACGAACGCUGGCGGCGUGCUUAACACAUGCCAGUCGAACGGAAAGGCCCUGCUUUUGUGGGGUGCUCGAGUGGCGAACGGGUGAGUAACACGUGAGUAACCUGCCCUUGACUUUGGGAUAACUUCAGGAAACUGGGGCUAAUACCGGAUAGGAGCUCCUGCUGCAUGGUGGGGGUUGGAAAGUUUCGGCGGUUGGGGAUGGACUCGCGGCUUAUCAGCUUGUUGGUGGGGUAGUGGCUUACCAAGGCUUUGACGGGUAGCCGGCCUGAGGGGGUGACCGGCCACAUUGGGACUGAGAUACGGCCCAGACUCCUACGGGAGGCAGCAGGGGGGAAUAUUGCACAAUGGGCGGAAGCCUGAUGCAGCAACGCCGCGUGCGGGAUGACGGCCUUCGGGUUGUAAACCGCUUUCGCCUGUGACGAAGCGUGAGUGACGGUAAUGGGUAAAGAAGCACCGGCUAACUACGUG
rnacentral:rRNA from 1 species